ACGAACGCUGGCGGCGUGCCUAAUACAUGCAAGUCGAGCGGACCGAACAGGAGCUUGCUCUUGUUCGGUUAGCGGCGGACGGGUGAGUAACACGUGGGUAACCUGCCCGUAAGACCGGGAUAACUCCGGGAAACCGGAGCUAAUACCGGAUAACACCGAAGACCGCAUGGUCUUUGGUUGAAAGGCGGCUUCGGCUGCCACUUACGGAUGGGCCCGCGGCGCAUUAGCUAGUUGGUGAGGUAACGGCUCACCAAGGCGACGAUGCGUAGCCGGCCUGAGAGGGUGACCGGCCGACCUGGGACUGAGACACGGCCCAGACUCCUACGGGAGGCAGCAGGAGGGAGUCGUCCGCAAUGGACGAAAGUCUGACGGAGCGACGCCGCGUGAGCGGAGAAGGUCUUCGGAUCGUGAAGCUCUGUUGUUAGGGAAGAAGAAGCGUCGUUCGAACAGGGCGGCGCGGUGACGGUACCUAACGAGAAAGCCCCGGCUAACUACGUG
rnacentral:rRNA from 1 species